CAGCUUCGAGCAAUUUUGUAUCAAUUUGACAAAUGAGAAGUUACAGCAGCAUUUCAACCAGCAUGUCUUCAAAAUGGAGCAAGAGGAAUAUACAAAGGAAGAAAUUGAUUGGAGUUAUAUAGAGUUCGUUGAUAAUCAAGAUGUUCUCGAUCUUAUUGAGAAGAAACCUGGCGGCGUUAUUGCUCUUCUGGACGAGGCCUGG